rnacentral:rRNA from 1 species
UACGGAGGGUGCAAGCGUUGUUCGGAUUUACUGGGCGUAAAGCGCGCGCAGGUGGGUGAACAAGUCGGAAGUGAAAUCUUGAGGCUCAACCUCGAGGCUGCUCCCGAAACUGUUCGCCUAGGGACUGGUAGAGGCUGGUAGAAUUCCCGGUGUAGCGGUGGAAUGCGUAGAGAUCGGGAAGAACACCAGUGGCGAAGGCGACACGCUGGGCCGUACCUGACGCUGAUACGCGACAGCAUGGGGAGCGAACGGG